ACCAUUAGGGGACACAUGUCACCCAAUGGUGCAAGCCAACUAAGCAUCCACAUAGGCAAUGAGAUGGCAAAACUCAAACAGACAUGUGGCAUAGCUCUAAGGGGCUGAUUGAAUUUGGCUUCUCACAUACGCUUGGUGUAUACUCUCUCUCUCUCAUUAUCUCAAAAUCUAUCAAACGGCAAUUCCUCUCCUCUGAAACCCUAAUCGGCGAUUCAUCGCCUCCUGACCCUUUCGGUGAAAUCAUCUUCCUCAUCUAAAUCAAUUUCUUUACCCUAAUCUUACACCAUAUGCUUGAAAACACAAAACCCUAACUCUAACUCUCUCUGGUGAACAAGAAUCCUCUGCGUCUCUCUCUCAGUACCAUCGGCGACAACCUUCAAUCGGAUCUUUCAAUCAUCAUUCUAUCGAAAUUGACGGAUAAUCCAUUGAGUUUAAGGGUGUUCAAGUUAAAUGGCUCUUUAGCGGUGAUAUGAGUAUAUGCGAACAUUGCUUCUUCUUGUCUCCAAUGGUUGUUGAAAGCAGCAUCGACAUUCUCGCUGCUGCAGUGAAAAAGUUACCGUCUGGAAAGGAUGAUACGAGCUUGAUUUACGCGUUCUAUUCGGUGCACGAGACCAAGAAGAAUUCACACGCGAGAUUUGAUCGGCUUGAAUGGUUUGAAGAACGGCUUUCAGAACCCUCCGUUCGAUGGGAAUGGUGAUCGUUGUUUACCGAAGGAAAACUCAUGGACUGGAGUUACAUGCUCUAAUGGAUCUAAUAUUCGCGUGACAAGAUUAAACCUUACAGGCAUGGACCUUUCGGGAUCUCUGUCGUCCAACAUUGCGAAUUUGACUGCAUUGUGUGGCCUGUAUGACACAUUAUUUACUUCUAAACCUACUUGCUUAUAUAAUAUUAGUUUUAUAUGCAAAAUGUUUAAAUUUUAUAGAAUUAGAAGUUUUAUAGACUGUUUGGUGGACUUGACAGAUGGGUUGGUAACAAUAACAUGUGAGUCUAGGUAUAUGUGGCAGUGAGAGAGCUUUUCAGUUGUAUUCAAUAGUUAGUGCUCUCGAACCCUAUUAAGUAAUAACCCUGAUAUACAUCACUUUUUUACAACAUCUUCGUGAUCUCUGUUGUGGUUGGAAUCAACUGACUCAGGUAUGGUUUACUUUUUUUUUAUAUUUUAUUUGAAAUAAUGUGUAAUUGUGGUGAACAAUGAGUAUGCUUCUGAAUUUCAUUCGUGACGAUAUGAUUCACUGAUUUGCUUUCAAAUGAUUUGAAUUGCACUUAAAGUACUACAUCUAUGCUCCGAAGUCCGGAAAGCAGAGCAAUUUGCUUAAAUCUAUGGGAUACUUAGCGUUAACGGGCCAGUUGUAUACAUCAAGAAACAAUCAAAGAUCUCAUGGACAAGGGAAGUUAAUUUUGCUUCUCAUUAAAAUAAAUGUUCUAUGCUCCAAAUUUUUAUUGUUUGUCACAUGUUUAAAUAUUUUAUACGUUGUCGAUGCAAAGUUUUACUAUUCUUACAAGUAUUUAGUUAAAUAUUGUGGUAUAAUUAACAAAAGUAUACAGAUUCCCAAGAGUCUAUGGUUUUAAUGGACUAAGAUUGGCUUAAAUUUGAGAGAUAUGUUUGGCUGAAUUCUUAUGUUACUUCUAAGCAUUUUUAGGAAAAAAGAGUUUCGAAUAGAAUUGUUUUUUUAGUUAAUGCACCACUAUAGUAAUAACAAUAAUACAUAAAUAUGAAAUUUUCGGUUCAUGCAGGAUGUUGCAGUCAGGUUAUUUGUAUAUAAAAAGUUUUCAGAUGAUGUGAUCGUAUCUUUUAAAAUGGAGGCAAUUUUUAUUUUUAUUUUUUUACAAUUUUAGAGAAGAUGUAAACUAACAAGUCAACUGACAUGUAAGUCAUGUGUUUUGAUAUUCAUCAGGUUAUCUUUAAUGAAAAAGGCUUCGACAUCCUAAUAUUUUCCUAUUCAUGGGGGCUGUAACUUCAACACCUCAAUAUCUAUGCAUUGUUACCGAGAGUACCUUCCCGGAACCCAUAAGAUAUCUGUGGGCCCAAACUGGAUCUGAGUAUGUCAUUGAAUCCACCGAAGUGUUUGCCGGCAGAUCGAUGUUUGUUAAUAUGGAAAGAAUGGCAAUGACGGAGCAUUCUACAAUCUGCAGCCACUGAGGAACCUAAGGUUGAUAUGUUCGAAGAUCCUUUGGUGUACGAUUAGAAGCUAGAAAGUUGCUACAGUUUGGUGCUCCACUCCACUUAUUUUAAGGCUCAAUGUCUUGAAUAUGGGACCACUGGAUGGGUUGUACCUUGACUAAUAUUUGACCCGUUUAUUUGUUCAGCUAAGUAACCUCUCCAAAUCGGCAUCUGCAGUCACAUUCUUCACCGCCCUCCUUUGCCGUUGCUUCAUAUCAGAGUUUCUGCAAAAAGGUCCUGUUUCCAUGGUUUGGGAGACAUCAAAAGUCUUAAAUGGGCUUUCUUGAUGAAGUGGAUAUUUAAGCCCAAUCCGUGGUAGCUAUAGGCAACCAUCAUCCGCGCUAUUCAUGGCGAAUGUACAAACAAUUGUGGAGUUCCAUUAAAAAGUAAUUCUUCUGGAUGCUAUAAAUAAUAUUUUCGGCCGAAAAGGAAUUGGUAAAAACUGGAAUCGUUAAUCUGGAUAAGAUGGGGUUCGAAAAGAGACACAUAUCAAAAGAAUUUUUCGGUGGCUUUGUUUAGCGACAACAUGGCGGGUCAAACUAUGUCCAGAGUGGAAGUGGAUCUGCAUAGGUGGAAUGCCCCUGCAAAGUUUUAUAUUUUGGCUGGAAACUGUUAUUAGGGUGCAUCCCAUCCAAAAAGGCGCCAACAACUAGAGGCCUUAAUAUAAAACGCUAAGAUUUACGGCUAUGGAAACGAAUCAGUUAAUCACAUUACUAUGGAGUGUGUUUUGGUUAAAGCCGUAUGGUGGCAUGUGUGUGGGUGUGGAUUACGCUCUUUUAAUGGAGGGAUCCUUUAACGAAGUGCUGGAGGUUUUACACAACACCAAAGGGUCUGACGUUUGGAAGAAAACUAUGGAGGUAGUGCUUUUAUGUUGGUACUCUUAGCAACGUGUUGGCCCUGUGAUCUAUUUUUAUAUAUAAAAUGGUUUUCGUUCCAAAAAAAAUGUGCUAAUUUUGUUUUGAAAUUAGUGCUUACCGCUUAUAUUUCUAAAUGUCACCGUAAGUUUCUUUCCAAGUUCCUAGAUCCCCGUACAACUUUACAAGGUAGGUUAAUAGAGUAGGUUAUUUUGAAGACAGCAAAUUUGUUUAUUGAAAGAAGUUAUAAAAUUGUAGUUGAGUA